AGAGUUUGAUCCUGGCUCAGAAUGAACGUUGGCGGCGUGGAUUAGGCAUGCAAGUCGAGCGAGAACCAGUCUUCGGACUGGGGACAGCGGCGAACGGGGUAGGAUCACCUCGGUGACGUACCCCCCGAUCGGGGAUAGCGGCGGGAAACUGCCGGUAAUACCCGAUGAUCUUCCCAGGUUUUACGACAGGGGAAGCAAAGGUGUGAUUCCGUCGGGGGAGCGGCUGAGGUCGUAUUAGCUGGUUGGUGAGGUAAUGGCUCACCAAGGCAAUGAUGCGUAGGGGGUGUGAGAGCAUGGCCCCCACCACUGGCACUGAGACACUGGCCAGACACCUACGGGUGGCUGCAGUCGAGAAUCUUCGGCAAUGGGCGCAAGCCUGACCGAGCGACGCCGCGUGCGGGAUGAAGGUCUUCGGAUUGUAAACCGCUGUCGGAGGGGAUGAAAUGCACGAGGGUACUCCCUUGUGUUUGACAGAGCCUCGGAGGAAGCACGGGCUAAGUUCGUGCCAGCAGCCGCGGUAAUACGAACUGUGCGAACGUUAUUCGGAAUCACUGGGCUUAAAGGGUGCGUAGGCGGCGGCACAAGUCAGGUGUGAAAUCCCCCGGCUCAACCGGGGAACAGCGCUUGAAACUAGGUCGCUCGAGUGAGGCAGGGGUAUGUGGAACUUCCGGUGGAGCGGUGAAAUGUGUAGAUAUCGGAAGGAACGCCGGCGGCGAAAGCGGCAUACUGGGCCUUGUCUGACGCUGAGGCACGAAAGCCAGGGGAGUGAACGGGAUUAGAUACCCCGGUAAUCCUAGCCG
rnacentral:rRNA from 1 species